rnacentral:rRNA from 1 species
UACGGCUCAGUAACACGUAGUCAACAUGCCCAGGGGACGUGGAUAACCUCGGGAAACUGAGGAUAAACCGCGAUAGGCCAUAAUUCCUGGAAUGGUUUAUGGCUGAAAUCUAUAUGGCCCCUGGAUUGGACUGCGGCCGAUCAGGCUGUUGGUGAGGUAAUGGCCCACCAAACCUAUAACCGGUACGGGCUCUGAGAGGAGAAGCCCGGAGAUGGGCACUGAGACAAGGGCCCAGGCCCUAUGGGGCGCAGCAGGCGCGAAACCUCUGCAAUAGGCGAAAGCCUGACAGGGUUACUCUGAGUGAUUCCCGCUAAGGGGAUCUUUUGGCACCUCUAAAAAUGGUGCAGAAUAAGGGGUGGGCAAGCCUGGUGUCAGCCGCCGCGGUAAUACCAGCACCCCGAGUGGUCGGGACGAUUAUUGGGCCUAAAGCAUCCGUAGCCGGCCACGCAAGUCCUCCGUUAAAUCCACCCGCUCAACGGUUGGGCUGCGGAGGAUACUACGUGGCUAGGAGGCGGGAGAGGCAAGCGGUACUCAAUGGGUAGGGGUAAAAUCCUUUGAUCCAUUGAAGACCACCAGUGGCGAAGGCGGCUUGCCAGAACGCGCUCGACGGUGAGGGAUGAAAGCUGGGGGAGCAAACCGGAUUAGAUACCCGGGUAGUCCCAGCUGUAAACGAUGCAGACUCGGUGAUGGGAUGGCCUCGAGCCAUCCCAGUGCCGCAGGGAAGCCGUUAAGUCUGCCGCCUGGGGAGUACGGUCGCAAGACUGAAACUUAAAGGAAUUGGCGGGGGAGCACCACAAAGGGUGAAGCCUGCGGUUCAAUUGGAGUCAACGCCGGGAAUCUUACCGGGGGAGACAGCAGAGUGAAGGUCAGCUGAGACUUUACCAGACAGCUGAGGGAGGUGCAUGUCGUCGCAGCUCGUGCGUGAGUGUCCUGUAAGUCAGUACGAGCGAGAUCCUGCCUCUAGUGCUACCUUUACUCUCAGA